rnacentral:tRNA from 1 species
UCUAAUAUGGCAGAAUAGUGCAUUGGAUUUAAACCUCAAUUAUAAAGAUACUUCUUUUUUUAGAA